rnacentral:tRNA from 1 species
UGCGGUGUAGCUCAGAGGAAGAGCGGCGGCCUCAUAAGCCGGACGGCCGUGGGUUCGAGUCCCACCACCGCCA